rnacentral:rRNA from 1 species
AGUGAAUUUGUAGGGCCUGCCAUACGGAUGCGCAAGCAGUCAUCAGGCGGAGGACCCACUAUACAUCCACAACCGGUGAGCACUUGUGUUGCUUUGGCCUGUAUGGGCGAGCGCACGCAUUCAAACAAACUCGUAUGGUUGUAUGUACGUUGUAAACGUUGGACCGUCACUGGCCAACAAACUUUAUACAACUUUCGACAACGGAUCUCUUGGUUCUCCCAUCGAUGAAGAACGCAGCGAAACGCGAUAGGUAAUGUGAAUUGCAGAAUUCCGUGAAUCAUCGAAUCUUUGAACGCACCUUGCGCUCCAUGGUAUUCCGUGGAGCAUGCCUGUUUGAGUGCCGCGAAUUCUCCCACCCCAAACGGUUGCCGAAAGGUACUGUGCGGCGGAGGGGUUGGAUGGGUGCUACUGCCUGUGGUGGGGAAACUACAACAGGCUCGCCCGAAAUGCAUUAGCGCCUCAGGACACAUUCGCUACUGCUCUACAAAAGGAAGAGCAGCGAAGCGUAUGGGGGGGAAAACCACCACCGGUUAUUCCAAACCUCGCCUGACUGUUUUUGCGCGCAUGGCAUGAUACGUCAUUUGCUGUGUUGCGUAGGGGGGUGCGUGAGAAAGUGGGAGUGCCUCUGGAGCUUUGGCGGGGGAGCACAAUAAUAAGCGGAGGAAAAGGUGCCAAGCUGCGGAGCAUCUCAACUCGCUUUCAAUUCUGGUCUC